GGCCGGGCCGCACGGUGCAGUUUUUUUUUUUCCUCUGAGCGGGUAGAGCGGCGGCUCACGUGGCUGGAGGCGCCGGGAGUUUCCCCCAGGCGGGGAGGGGCGACUCCGCCCUCCGCCCACGCCCGAGCCGAGCGCCUCGCUUCCUCCUCGUGGCGGCCCGAGGGUCCCGAGCGCCCGUCUGCCUGUUUCCGGUCCCCCGGAGGGUCCCGCGUUUGCGUUUCGGGGCGUGAGGAAUCCGUGCCUCGCGAGGUUGAGAACAAAAAGAAGAUGCACCUGGACUUUCCCCGGAGCCCUCUGCGUUUUUAAGGCGUCGGGUGGAGUUGGUUCGUAAGCCGCGUUCCUUACUGAAAAUAGAAGUCACUUCUGCCUUCCCGUGGUAAGUUUUAGAGCAGAAAAGGCAGCAGUUGCUACUUGAAGCCGCGCGGCCAUCGUGGUCUUGAUUGAGUAGAACUUUCUGAGUAAGAAAAUCUGCCUGGACGCGCUCCCGGCGUUCCGGAGGUUAGAACUCAUUUACAAAAUGGAGGCAGGGCGAGGGCGGGCUCUCAGUGAAAACUCCGGCGACUUCCUGGAACACAAAGAUGUGUAGAGGAGGGUGCAGCAAGGCUCCCACCAAGCGGGCCCUGAACAAAAGAACUGGGUGGGUGGUGUUUGAGCGGCCCUGUUUGUUUCGCAGAUAAACUUAACCAGUUCAGGAUUCAAAGGGCGCACCUCAUUUAUCUUACCUGGAUCUACCUGAAGGCAGUGAAAAUCCAGUCUAACCAGUAUCACCGAAUGGGUAGUUGCUAGAAAAGCAAGAGGCUCAACCUGGGUUAUUUACUUAUUUUAGAAUUUAAGAGCGCAUUUUCAUUAGUUAUCAAGUUGUGGGAUUACAUUUUAAAAGCGAAUGUAGGGCUCAUCGGGCUACAGUAUUACAAGCCAGGCACCCGGGAAUGGUGCAAAUAAUUCCGGUAGUGUGUGCUGCAAUUUCAGCCAAAUCUCUGGGUGCAGGAACAGUACUUUAAAAGAGACCAAGCUUUCCAUCUGGUCUUUUUCCUGGGCAUGUCUCCACAGUUCACAUGUUCACAGGUCUUGUGCCAGUGGGUAAAUGUAGGUCUAGCUGCCAGCUGCUUGCGCUAUGGUGUCUCCA
rnacentral:lncRNA from 1 species